CUCCAGAGUGCUGGGAUUAAAGGUGUGCGCCAUCACCGCCCAGCUUAGUUUUGUGUUUUAACUAACUAUUAUUUUCUGUAAUUCUAGGUUCAUCUUUAACUUUUUCUGCCUCAACCUUUGACUAAAGACUAGAAUGAGUCCAAAGAGCUUGUUUGUCUUUACGAGAAAGAUAGUGCAGGAAUUGGAAAGAUGAUUCGGUUCCCAACACCCAUAUGGUGACUCACAACUGUCUGUAUCUCCAGUUCCAGGGGAUCUGACACCUUCUUGUCUCCAUGGAUACGAGGCACACAUGUGGGGGACAAAUGCACACGCAGACAAAGCACUAUGCUGUACACACAUCUCUGCACUGAGAUGAAGUAAAAUAAAACCUCUUAGGUUAAUGAGACGGCCCAUCAGGAACCGGCACUGCCUGCCAAACGUGACAACCUGAGGUCCAUCCAGGGAACAACCGACAUUCUCAGCUUGUCCUGUGAGUGCCACACUGAUGUUAUGCUACUCACAGAGAAGAAAUAGGAGCCCCUGGAUCGUAGGAGCAUCGGUGGUUAUCAAAUGGGUCUCACUUACUUAGACC